UGCGAUCGAACAAGGCAAAAGAAAGGGGGAAACCCUAGUUCAAGAAAUCAAGUGAUUCAAUCCAAAUUCAUAAGCCAAUUUGGUGCAUGAUCCCUAAAUUGUGAUUAGCUAAGCCUAAUCUCUCAAGUGGCGUAAAGGAAGAAUGUACAAGCACCAAGAAAACGGAAGGGGCGCAAGAUCGAGGUAAAUCCUCAUCGUAGACUCUAUGGCGAAUUGAAGCGAGCACGUGAUCACCACUUAACAUAUCAAGCGCUUCCGCUAGUUGCUUUAAUGUUUUGGGUCAAUAAUUGUGAAAGUUUGUCUAAACUAGUUAGUAGAUGUAUUGGUCAAAAGUUUAUGUUUUCCUUGGACUUUCGUUGCGUCUAGUCGUAAAGGUCAUGGAAUAUUUUGUAUGAAGGUUGUAUGAAACAGGUGCAUGCUCAUUGUACGAAUGGGUCAUGCCCGA